GGCUCACUGGCUCGAUACUGACGCUGAGGUGCGAAAGUGUGGGGAGCAAACAGGAUUAGAUACCCUGGUAGUCCACACCGUAAACGAUGAAUGCCAGUCGUCGGGUAGCAUGCUAUUCGGUGACACACCUAACGGAUUAAGCAUUCCGCCUGGGGAGUACGGUCGCAAGAUUAAAACUCAAAGAAAUUGACGGGGGCCCGCACAAGCGGUGGAGCAUGUGGUUUAAUUCGAAGCAACGCGCAGAACCUUACCAACCCUUGACAUCCUAGGACCGUUCCAGAGAUGGAUCUUUCACUUCGGUGACCUAGUGACAGGUGCUGCAUGGCUGUCGUCAGCUCGUGUCAUGAGAUGUUCGGUUAAGUCCGGCAACGAGCGCAACCCACAUCCUUAGUUGCCAGCAGUUCGGCUGGGCACUCUAGGGAAACUGCCCGUGAUAAGCGGGAGGAAGGUGUGGAUGACGUCAAGUCCUCAUGGCCCUUACGGGUUGGGCUACACACGCGCUACAAUGGCAGUGACAAUGGGUUAAUCCCAAAAAACUGUCUCAGUUCGGAUUGGGGUCUGCAACUCGACCCCAUGAAGUCGGAAUCGCUAGUAAUCGCGUAACAGCAUGACGCGGUGAAUACGUUCCCGGGCCUUGUACACACCGCCC
rnacentral:rRNA from 1 species